rnacentral:rRNA from 1 species
UACGUAGGGCGCAAGCGUUGUCCGGAAUUAUUUGGCGUAAAGAGCUUGUAGGCGGUUUGUCGUGUCUGCUGUGAAAAUCCGGGGCUCAACUCCGGACUUGCAGUGGGUACGGGCAGACUAGAGUGUGGUAGGGGAGACUGGAAUUCCUGGUGUAGCGGUGGAAUGCGCAGAUAUCAGGAGGAACACCGAUGGCGAAGGCAGGUCUCUGGGCCAUAACUGACGCUGAGAAGCGAAAGCAUGGGGAGCGAACAGG